GCAGCAGGCCGCUCUAUCGUCUCAACUUUUGUUGAGGAGGAAAGUCCGGACACCAUAGGAUAUCAUAGCGGCUAACGGCCGUCGUCCCGAUAGCUAUCGGGAUAGGACCAGUGCAACAGAAAGUAUGUACAGGUAAUGCUGUAGUGAAACCAGGUAAACUCUAUGUGGUGAAAUGUCGCGUAAAUCAGAGCUUGAGCGCGAUCCGUGCGAUUCUGAAGGGUAGGCAGUUAGAGGUCGUGAGUAAUUGCGAUCCUAGAUAAAUGAUAGAGGUUCCCGUUUGUGCGGGAUCACAGAAUCCGGCUUACAGGCCUGCUUUUUUA
rnacentral:RNase_P_RNA from 1 species